rnacentral:snRNA from 1 species
AAAAAUACCUGGCAGGGGAGAAGCCAUGAUCACAAGGGUGGUUCUCCCAAAGCCAGGCUUGUCCACUGCCCUUGGGCCCUUCUGACACCUGUGAUUUCCCCAAACUGCAGUUUGAACUCACCUGUACAAUUUCUCUUAGUGAGGAACUGCA